AUCUUCUUAGUACUAAAAAGUAUAGGUGACUUCCAAUCACUCGGCCUUGGUUAGAAUCCAAGAGAAGAUA
rnacentral:tRNA from 1 species